AGACAGAGGCGGUUUACAGCCUGACAGUCACGAACAUCCGCUGAAACACAGGUUCACGAACACGGAGUUCAAAAGCCACGCGUGGAGUUUGGAUGUUCCCGCCACAGUAUUUGCUACAGAUGUUCCACGAUUGUGAAAGUUUCAGUCACGUGAUGAAACGCUGGACCAAUCACUGUGGCCAGGAGAACCGAGGACACGGGCAGGCCCGAGUCAUGUGACCACCAUGGGACCUGGUCCUGAGCUGGGUGCAGGGAAGCUGAUAACCGUCAGGAAGAUAACCCAAAAGAAUGCCACUUUGCCACCGAACCACAUCCUAGAGAGCCACAGAGCCCACGCCCUUCCGCCAGGAGAGACACGACCAGGCCUUGAACGGAGCGAGCUGUUGUGUUGGUGAGAAGGGACCCACCCUAGUGGUGUCCAGACCAGUGCUUGCCUCACUGCAGCGUGCCCGAGGAUGUCCUGGGGAUCAGGUUGAAAUGCAAAUUCUGAUUCGGGAGGUCUGGGGCAGGGACCGAGACUCUGAUUUUCCAGCAAGCUCCCAGGCGACGGUGACACCAUUGUUCCCACACCCCACUUGAGCCGUGAGGUCUUAGAGUAUGGAGUCACCAACUGGAUGAACGUUGGAUGAAGCUGGGGUGGGGGGGGGGAUGCCUGUCACGGA